rnacentral:lncRNA from 1 species
AGACUUCCACGUGGCUCCUCACUUUUCUACAUCCUUGCACAGCUGACAUUGAUUACGUUAAACGUGAACCAUAAGCGUGUUUUGUUUCUCUUUUAAAUAGCUUGCUUCAUUCCAUGUAAAGGUACCUUUGAUUUGAACGAAGAAUUGUUUUGUUGAUUUUUGUCCAGAAAUUUCUUCUUGUUGAAGGUCACCGAGAGAGAGCUUGAGAGCUUCCUCUAGCUUCUCUCCCUAGCUAGGCAUCAAAUCCUAGCAUAUCUCCACCAUCUGCAUCAUAUUUCAGCACCCAAUCUCUACCUUUAUUCCACUUUUAUACAUCACCGCUUAAUUAGUUUCCUUCACUGAAUCACCGUUUGAUUCAAACCUCCUCUGCCUCAACCUUAUCUUCAGCACUGAGUCUUCCAUUUGCUUCCAUCCAGCCACCAACACCGUUUAAAUAGUGGCUCCCAGAAUUUCUGCUUCCUACGGUUAUCAUCAUUAAUCAUCUUCUUCUGCUGCAACAAAUGAUGUCCAUCUCCUUUUCCAGUUCAGAUUCCAGAAGUUCCUAGAAGAAGUUUCGUUGAUUUCAUCUUCCACUAAAAUCAGCUGGAAAAUUCUUCCAUCAGGUAGAGUGCCUUUUUAAGAGUUCACUGGCUUAUUUUCU